rnacentral:rRNA from 1 species
CGGCACGCGCGCUACACUGAUGCAUUCAACGAGCCUAUCCUUGGCCGAGAGGUCCGGGUAAUCUUUGAAACUGCAUCGUGAUGGGGAUAGAUUAUUGCAAUUAUUAGUCUUCAACGAGGAAUGCCUAGUAAGCGCAAGUCAUCAGCUUGCGUUGAUUACGU